ACCGCCCCCUCCAGCCGCCCGGGCGCCCCGGCCGCGGUGGGGGGUGGGGAUGGAGAGACGCUGGUUGGAGACUGGAUCUCACCUGGACAGCAGGAGGCUUGAGCCCCGGAGUUUGAGGCUGCAGUGAGCUAUGACUGUGACACUGCAUUCCAGCCUGGGGGACUGAGUGAGAGCGUCUGUUAAAAACAAACAAACAAAAACCAGGUAUUGUUAUUGCAGGUAAGCAUGUGACAUUAUUUGUGUGUUGCCUUCCCUACUAGAACAUCAGCUCCACAAGGGCAGGAAUUUUUGCCUGUUGUCACCACGAUGUCCCUGGCACCCAGUAUGUUCUUGGUGUCCCCAUUGAUGAUGCAGGGAUGUGUGGAUAUGGGGCAGUGGACUGUGAGCAUGUGAUGAGCAUGUGACCCAGCCCCUAGUGACCGCACCACAUGGCACAGGUUGCUUAUAAAAACCAUUUUAAAUUAAAAAAGGGAGGAAGCAUCAGUG
rnacentral:lncRNA from 1 species